AAUGGGCUUGAUUUGCAAACUUUAUUUAGCGAGGAACAAUUGGAGGGCAAGUCUGGUGCCAGCAGCCGCGGUAAUUCCAGCUCCAAUAGUGUAUAUUAAUGUUCCUGCAGUUAUUCGAUGCUCGUAGUUUGAUUUCUGGGGGCUGAGAUUGGAAGGUGGCCAAGGUCACCGCCGAACUCUUCCUUCAUCCACCUGUUAACGUUGUCCGGGAUUUGUUUCUCGGCUUCAGGCUCAGGUAUUUUACCCUUUCUAUAUAUUCAUUUAUUUAUCUUCUUUUUGAGUAAAUUAUAGUGUUUCAGGCAGGCGUGCGCCGGAAUACUUUAGCAUGGAAUAAUCGAAUUGGACCGUGUAUUCUUAUAGAAUUCUUCCUUAUUUGUUGGUUUCAAGGACACGGAAAUGGUUAAUAGGGAUAGUGUUCUCAGGGGAGGCAUUAGUAUUUAAUUUCCAGAGGUGAAAUUCUUUGAAAUAUUAAAGACUAACUUAUGCGAAAGCAUCUAUUUUGCCAAUAAUGUUUUCAUUAAUCAUUGAACGAAAGUUAGGGGAUCAAAGACGAUCAGAUACCGUCCUAGUCUUAACCAUAAACGUUGCCGACUAGGGAUCGGAGGGCGUGCACAUUCCGCCUUCGGCACCUUACGAGAAAUCAAAGUCUUUUGGGUUCUGGGGGUAGUAUGGUCGCAAGGCUGAAACUUAAAGGAAUUGACGGAAGGGCACCACCAGGAGUGGAGCUUGCGGCUCAAUUUGACUCAACACGGGAAAUCUUACCAGGUCCAGACAUAGCGAGGAUUGACAGAUUGAUAGCUCUUUCUUGAUUCUAUGGGUAUUUAUUUUAAUUUUGGUGGUGCAUGGCCGUUCUUAGUUGGUGGAGUGAUUUGUCUGGUUAAUUCCGUUAAGCGAACGAGACCUCAGCCUGCUAAAUAGUUACCUGUCUUUCUUUUACGAGACUUGAUAACUUCUUAGAGGGACGUUGUGUGCAACCACAAGGAAGUUGAGGCAAUAACAGGUCUGUGAUGCCCUUAGAUGUCCUGGGCCGCACGCGUGCUACACUGAUACGUACAACAAGGUAUAUGCAUUUAUGCAUCGAUGCUGCUCCGAAAUAGACACAGCUAAAUCUUCUAAAAUACGUAUCGUGCUGCGGAUAGAUCGUUGAAAUUAUGGAUCUUGAAGGUGGAAUUCCUAGUAAGCGCGGGUCAUCAACCCGCGUUGAUUACGUCCCUGCCCUUUGUACACACCGCCCGUCGCUCCUACCAAUUUCGAGUGGCUCGGUGAACCUCUUUGGACUGUCGAGCAAUCGCGAAAUUAGAGUGAACCUGGUCAC
rnacentral:rRNA from 1 species